UACGUAGGUGGCAAGCGUUGUCCGGAUUUACUGGGCGUAAAGAGCGCGCAGGCGGUCGUUCAAGUCGCGUGUGAAAGCCCCCGGCUCAACUGGGGAGGGUCACGCGAUACUGAUCGACUGGAAGGCAGGAGAGGGUAGUGGAAUUCCCGGUGUAGUGGUGAAAUGCGUAGAUAUCGGGAGGAACACCAGUGGCGAAGGCGACUACCUGGCCUGUUCUUGACGCUGAGGCGCGAAAGCUAGGGAGCAACGGG
rnacentral:rRNA from 1 species